rnacentral:rRNA from 1 species
UACGUAGGGCGCAAGCGUUAUCCGGAAUUAUUGGGCGUAAAGAGCUCGUAGGCGGUUUGUCGCGUCUGCCGUGAAAGUCCGGGGCUCAACUCCGGAUCUGCGGUGGGUACGGGCAGACUAGAGUGCGGUAGGGGAGACUGGAAUUCCUGGUGUAGCGGUGAAAUGCGCAGAUAUCAGGAGGAACACCGGUGGCGAAGGCGGGUCUCUGGGCAGUAACUGACGCUGAGGAGCGAAAGCGUGGGGAGCGAACAGG